AUUGAACGCUGGCGGCAGGCCUAACACAUGCAAGUCGAGCGGAUGAAGCGAGCUUGCUCCUGGAUUCAGCGGCGGACGGGUGAGUAAUGCCUAGGAAUCUGCCUGGUAGUGGGGGAUAACGUCCGGAAACGGGCGCUAAUACCGCAUACGUCCUGAGGGAGAAAGUGGGGGAUCUUCGGACCUCACGCUAUCAGAUGAGCCUAGGUCGGAUUAGCUAGUUGGUGGGGUAAAGGCCUACCAAGGCGACGAUCCGUAACUGGUCUGAGAGGAUGAUCAGUCACACUGGAACUGAGACACGGUCCAGACUCCGACGGGAGGCAGCAGUGGGGAAUAUUGGACAAUGGGCGAAAGCCUGAUCCAGCCAUGCCGCGUGUGUGAAGAAGGUCUUCGGAUUGUAAAGCACUUUAAGUUGGGAGGAAGGGCAGUAAGUUAAUACCUUGCUGUUUUGACGUUACCAACAGAAUAAGCACCGGCUAACUUCGUG
rnacentral:rRNA from 1 species